rnacentral:rRNA from 1 species
GCCUACGGGGGGCUGCAGUGGGGAAUUUUGCGCAAUGGGCGAAAGCCUGACGCAGCGACGCCGCGUGGGUGAUGAAGGCCUUCGGGUUGUAAAGCCCUGUGGGGAGGGAAGAAUAAGGGGCGGCUAAUACCCGCACCGAUGACGGUACCUCCUUAGCAAGCACCGGCUAACUCUGUGCCAGCAGCCGCGGUAAGACAGAGGGGGCAAAAGUUGUUCGGAAUUACUGGGCGUAAAGCGCGUGUAGGCGGUCUAGCAAGUCGGAUGUGAAAGCCCGUGGCUCAACUGAGGAAGUGCAUUCGAAACUGCGAGACUUGAGUCCCGGAGAGGAUGGUGGAAUUCUCGGUGUAGAGGUGAAAUUCGUAGAUAUCGAGAGGAACACCGGUGGCGAAGGCGGCCAUCUGGACGGUGACUGACGCUGAGACGCGAAAGCAUGGGGAGCAAACAGGAUUAGAUACCCUAGUAGUCCC